UACGUAGGGGGCGAGCGUUGCUCGGAAUUACUGGGCGUAAAGCGCAUGUAGGCGGUCAUAUAAGUUGGCGGUGAAAGACCUAUGCUCAACGUAGGAAGAGCCGCCAAUACUGUAUAGCUGGAGUACGAUAGAGGAUGGUGGAAUUGCCGGUGUAGGGGUGAAAUUUGUAGAGAUCCGGAGGAAUACCAGUGGCGAAGGCGACCUGCUAGAUUGUUGCUGACGCUGAGGUGCGAAAGCCUGGGGAGCAAACGGG
rnacentral:rRNA from 1 species